rnacentral:rRNA from 1 species
AGAGUUUGAUCCUGGCUCAGGACGAACGCUGGCGGCGUGCUUAACACAUGCAAGUCGAACGGAGCACCCUUGAUUGAGGUUUCGGCCAAAUGAUAGGAAUGCUUAGUGGCGGACUGGUGAGUAACGCGUGAGGAACCUGCCUUUCAGAGGGGGACAACAGUUGGAAACGACUGCUAAUACCGCAUGACGCAUGACCGGGGCAUCCCGGGCAUGUCAAAGAUUUUAUCGCUGGAAGAUGGCCUCGCGUCUGAUUAGCUAGAUGGUGGGGUAACGGCCCACCAUGGCGACGAUCAGUAGCCGGACUGAGAGGUUGACCGGCCACAUUGGGACUGAGAUACGGCCCAGACUCCUACGGGAGGCAGCAGUGGGGAAUAUUGGGCAAUGGGCGCAAGCCUGACCCAGCAACGCCGCGUGAAGGAAGAAGGCUUUCGGGUUGUAAACUUCUUUUAAGAGGGAAGAGGAGAAGACGGUACCUCUAGAAUAAGCCACGGCUAACUACGUGCCAGCAGCCGCGGUAAUACGUAGGUGGCAAGCGUUGUCCGGAUUUACUGGGUGUAAAGGGCGUGCAGCCGGGUCUGCAAGUCAGAUGUGAAAUCCAUGGGCUCAACCCAUGAACUGCAUUUGAAACUGUAGAUCUUGAGUGUCGGAGGGGCAAUCGGAAUUCCUAGUGUAGCGGUGAAAUGCGUAGAUAUUAGGAGGAACACCAGUGGCGAAGGCGGAUUGCUGGACGAUAACUGACGGUGAGGCGCGAAAGUGUGGGGAGCAAACAGGAUUAGAUACCCUGGUAGUCCACACUGUAAACGAUGAAUACUAGGUGUGCGGGGACUGACCCCCUGCGUGCCGCAGUAAACACAAUAAGUAUUCCACCUGGGGAGUACGAUCGCAAGGUUGAAACUCAAAGGAAUUGACGGGGGCCCGCACAAGCGGUGGAUUAUGUGGUUUAAUUCGAAGCAACGCGAAGAACCUUACCAGGGUUUGACAUCCUGCUAACGAAGUAGAGAUACAUUAGGUGCCCUUCGGGGAAAGCAGAGACAGGUGGUGCAUGGUUGUCGUCAGCUCGUGUCGUGAGAUGUUGGGUUAAGUCCCGCAACGAGCGCAACCC